AACACACUGUGUUCUGAUUGGUUCAGGCCCGGGGGAAGAAGCGCCAGAUAGGUUGGUUUCCGGCCAACUACGUGAAGCUGCUCAGUCCCAGCACCAGCAAGACCACCCCCACAGACCCCGCCCCCCCAAAACUGGCUCCUGCCAGCACAGCCGUGUGCCAGGUGAUCGGCAUGUACGACUACGUGGCCCAGAACGACGACGAGCUGGCCUUCCUGAAGGGUCAGGUGAUCACGGUGCUCAACAAGGACGACUGUGAUUGGUGGAAAGGAGAGCUCAACGGGAGGGAGGGUCUGUUUCCUAGCAACUACGUCAAGCUCACCACGGAUACCGACCCGAGCACGCAGUGAUCAUAUCAUUACCCAGAACCCCCCUCUCCUCAAAGCCCUCAAAGAGACCCACUAGGCCACGCCCACUAGGCCACUCAACCAAUGGGACAGCAGCAAGAGGUCAUGGCGACUCUUCACCAAUAGAAGCCAGAGAGAGAGAGAGAGAGACAGACAGACAGACAGACAGACAGACAGACA